rnacentral:rRNA from 1 species
UACGGGGGGGGCAAGCGUUGUUCGGAAUUACUGGGCGUAAAGGGUUCGUAGGUGGCCAACUAAGUCAGACGUGAAAUCCCUCAGCUUAACUGGGGAACUGCGUCUGAUACUGGUUGGCUUGAGUGCAGGAGAGGAAUGCGGAAUUCCAGGUGUAGCGGUGAAAUGCGUAGAUAUCAGGAGGAACACCAGCGGUGUAGACGGCUUUCUGGACCAUUGCUGACGCUGAGACACGAAAGCGUGGGUAGCAAACAGG